CAUUCGGAUUAUACCGCUGAUAUGAAAGAAAAUAGACUAUCGUUAACGAAACUAUAACCUUUUAAGUAACACAAAAAUAGUGACAAUUUAUAUUUUAAAAAGUGUGAAACUCUUUCCUAUUAUUCAGAGCAUGAUCCGUUUCCCACUUUUCAUAUUUCAAAAUUGUGAACAAUUUUAUCAAAGUAACAUUUCUUGUUUGCAAGAAGUAAAAUUACGUAAGAAAAAAACCCUUUUCGGAUAAUCGAUUAUUCAGGAUUUAAUGGAAACACAAAAUGUAGUAGAGCUGAAAAAAGAGAGUCAAACGAUGCAAAAAAAAAGUCAAUUUCCAGAUGAUCCUGGGCGUAUUGAAGAUGAUGUGAAUGUGUUAGAGGUGCAGUGGUAAAGUCCGUUUUUUGCGUUUUUCGGCAUGUUAGUCUAAAGCAUCAUGGGUGUUUAAUCAUCAAUCAUUCAAAGGUGGUCUAAUCUCAUCUGUGGAUUUGUGCUCUUUGACAAAUAGACUAAAUAAAAUGGCUAUACAGUAACUCUAUCUGGAAAUCGUAGGAAGAAGUUCCAGGUUGGCUUCCAAAAUACUAAGCAGUUUUCCAUUUUUUCCAGUUAACAAUAAACUAUUCAAAAGUUGGAAAAUACGUGAUUGUGACAUAAAUUGCUUGUAAGAUCAAUGGAUUUAAUAC